rnacentral:lncRNA from 1 species
CUAGGAUCAAUCCGGUGGGCCCGGCCCACCCGUGGCUACGCCCCUGGUCCUGAGUCUGCGUAUGGGGUCAAGGUUUGCAGAAGUGAACUGUCCUGCUGUUUAGUGACUCCAGUCCUCAGCAGCGCCCCUCCGUCUCCACGGCACUUGUUUUAGCUGCCAGAAUCCCUACGAGAUCAGAUAUGAAAUACAUCUUAGUAAAGAUGAUAUCUCUAUGGAAAACAAAUC